rnacentral:lncRNA from 13 species
GGACAAGACUUUGCUGUGAUAAAGCUGCCCUAUAAUCGUGAUUUUAAAAAUUGCAGAGUGGCAUGAAGGCAUAAAAUGUGCUUUUAGAUUCAACAAAUCUUUUCUCUAAUGCUGGUCAUGGAUGUCAGCCAGAGACCAUUUCACAGUGCUAUGAAUGGUGUAAGCAAGACUCUCUUGAGAGAGAAGGGCUUCAUGGAGAAGCUGAUUUUGCUGGUGGUGAAGCAGGGGAUGGUCAUUCCGGGCAGAGGUUGCAGACAGGACCGACAGAAGUCAGCCUGACUUUUCCUUAACCACUUUAAGCCCUAGGAGCCCGCCCAGUUCCACCCAUGAUUCUUCUGCCUCCUGAACUGCAGUGUGAGCAAAUGAGAUAAGUACAAAAUAUUCCUACACCACUGGCUCCAUGCUCUCCUCAUAUUCAAUCAUGAAGACUAAUGAACCAGAGAUGAUUACGGUGGUAAAAAUCCAAAUGCAGAUUUUUGCUGUUCUUACUAAUGAGAGAAAAAUAUAGUAGAUCAUUGGCCUAAAGGCUCCAGAUACGAUUCCUUUGUAACUUAGAGUGCAUUAAAAAAGCUUCAGUCAGCAAGAUAAGUUAAUUUUUUUAUGACCUUUAUAAACUCUUUUAGCCUGUAUCUCAGGAGCUUCUUAAAGAUUAAAUUUUGAAAAAUCCUUUUAGCUCAGGCCAACACAGCAUCUGAGCCUUUUUUUGCUUCAAAGGCUACAUCCAAAAUCUAUAAAAAAAUUCUGUUCAUGAC